GUGGCGGGUUAUCCUUUAAUUAAGUGUAAGAUACGUCCGGGUUAAUCACUCAAGUGCGGGUAGAACCAUGCGAGUAGAUAGGGUACCUGCUUGCGAUAUCUGGAAAGAACAGAUAAAUCCGCGCUGACAGGGGCUUGAUACACUUUUUACGUGUAGUUGCUAGCCGACGGUGGCGGAUAGCGGGGAAAAUCCGGGACUGAUAGGUAUCGGUUACUCUCGCCAGGCGGAUUCAUUAUAUAUGUAUAGCGCGGAUAAGUGUCACGUACUCCCUCACACCGGGUUGUCAAGUUUGCCUGGUGGAUUCAUUCACCCGCCAACUGCGGAUACACUUCCCGCGCAUGCGCGUUGCCGGCGGUGCACCUCCGGCAACGAAUCUCGUGCGACGCCAUCUUCCUGACUGUGUUGACGGCGCUGUGGUUUGGCUGUGGUACUGCGUCUGCUGUGGACUUCUGGCUGCUGAAUUUCGCGGAUAGAGGCGUACGAAUCGAAAUGGGAGGUUUCGACCACUGAAAGCCAAGUGGAGAGACGUUGACAGACACAAAACGACCGGUGGAGGAGUGGUGCAUGGCGCAAGGCACCGGGGCCUUAUGACCUUAACUCAUAUUUAGCUCGUAUAAUUCAUGUGUGUGGAUAUUGUUGUACGUCUAACUAAAUAAAUAAAUAAGACCAUA